rnacentral:lncRNA from 10 species
GAUUUAUAGUCCUUUGGGUAUAUACCCAGUAAUGGGAUGGCUGGGUCAAAUGGUAUUUCCAGUUCUAGAUCCCUGAGGAAUCGCCACACUGACUUCCACAAUGGUUGAACUAGUUUGCAGUCCCACCAACAGUGUAAAAGUGUUCCUAUUUCUCCACACCCUCUCCAGCACCUGUUGUUUCCUGACUUUUUAAUGAUUGCCAUUCUAACUGGUGUGAGAUGGUAUCUCAUUGUGGUUUUGAUUUGCAUUUCUCUGAUGGCCAGUGAUGAUGAGCCUUUUUUCAUGUGUUUUUUGGCUGCAUAAAUGUCUUCUUUUGAGAAGUGUCUGUUCAUGUUCUUCGCCCACUUUUUGAUGGGGUUUUUUUCUUGUAAAUUUGUUUGAGUUCAUUGUAGAUUCUGGAUAUUAGCCCUUUGUCAGAUGAGUAGGUUGCAAAAAUUUUCUCCCAUUCUGUAGGUUGCCUGUUCACUCUGAUGGCGGUUUCUUUUGCUGUGCAGAAGCUCUUUAGUUUAAUUAGAUCCCAUUGGUCAAUUUUGUCUUCUGUUGCCAUUGCUUUUGGCGUUUUAGACAUGAAGUCCUUGCCCAUGCCUAUGUCCUGAAUGGUAAUGCCUAGGUUUUCUUCUAGGGUUUUUAUGGUUUUAGGUCUAAUGUUUAAGUCUUUAAUCCAUCUUGAAUUGAUUUUUGUAUAAGGUGUAAGGAAGGGAUCCAGUUUCAGCUUUCUACAUAUGGCUAGCCAGUUUUCCCAGCACCAUUCAUUAAAUAGGGAAUCCUUUCCCCAUUGCUUGUUUUUCUCAGGUUUGUCAAAGAUCAGAUAGUUGUAGAUAUGAGGCAUUAUUUCUGAGGGCUCUGUUCUGUUCCAUUGAUCUAUAUCUCUGUUUUGGUACCAGUACCAUGCUGUUUUGGUUACUGUAGCCUUGUAGUAUAGUUUGAAGUCAGGUAGUGUGAUGCCUCCAGCUUUGUUCUUUUGGCUUAGGAUUGACUUGGCAAUGUGGGCUCUUUUUUGAUUCCAUAUGAACUUUAAAGUAGUUUUUUUCCAAUUCUGUGAAGAAAGUCAUUGGUAGCUUGAUGGGGAUGGCAUUGAAUCUAUAAAUUACCUUGGGCAGUAUGGCCAUUUUCACGAUAUUGAUUCUUCCUACCCAUGAGCAUGGAAUGUUCUUCCAUUUGUUUGUAUCCUCUUUUAUUUCCUUGAGCAGUGGUUUGUAGUUCUCCUUGAAGAGGUCCUUCACAUCCCUUGUAAGUUGGAUUCCUAGGUAUUUUAUUCUCUUUGAAGCAAUUGUGAAUGGGAGUUCACUCAUGAUUUGGCUCUCUGUUUGUCUGUUGUUGGUGUAUAAGAAUGCUUGGCCAGGGCAAUUAGGCAGGAGAAGGAAAUAAAGGGUAUUCAAUUAAUUAGGAAAAGAGGAAGUCAAAUUGUCCCUGUUUGCAGACGACAUGAUUGUAUAUCUAGAAAACCCCAUUGUCUCAGCCCAAAAUCUCCUUAAGCUGAUAAGCAACUUCAGCAAAGUCUCAGGAUACAAAAUCAAUAUACAAAAAUCACAAGCAUUCUGAAAAGUUUUUUCUUAUUUUGGAUGCCUUGUUAAAAGGCAAGUACCCCAGCAGGUGUCAGUGGAGACUGUGACCGCUGAAUAGCAAUGGUGAUGGGGUGAGGCUGGAUCUGGCCAGAAGAGGGCUGAGGGGCAUGGAGAAGACUCGGGGAGCACAGGGAAGAUGUGGGAGGUGGGGAGGAUGGGAGGGAGGACAGGGAGAGGACAGGAAGGACUGGCUCUGCUCAUUCUCCUUCGCACUUCUGUGGAGCAGCUGCUCUGGGCCCAGAUAAUGAUCUCUCGAGGGCAGGACUUGUGGUUUUAUUUGCGUCAUGAGCCUUUAGGAAGUUUGGGGUCGUGCAUGUAGAGCUGAACGUGGGGACACCGAGAACGUGCACCCUGCAUCCCGACUGCUGAGUUCACUUCUCUGCAAAGCACAAAUCGCUGUCCCAUCCUGGGUCACACUCCUGGGAGCCAAACCUGGGUGGGAUUCUGUCUCUACCCCACAUCAGCUGUAAGAUUUGGGGCAGGGCGCAGAACCCCCUGAGCACGUGGGAAACUGAUCACCACGUGGGGGAUGUUUGUUAGAGAGAUUCAGUGGGUGAUGUGGGGGCAGAAGGAGGCCCCUAGAGCAGAGUAUGGCAUCUGUUCUGAAUGCCGAUAUGGCGUUGGGGGGACAGCACCCUGGCGGCCUGCAGCACCCUCUGUGAACAGGGAAGGCUGGAAGGAAGGGGUGGGUCCCCCUGACAGGUAGGGGCUGCUGGAUGGUCCCACUUUGCCCGCCCGGUCUCUUCCUACACUAUGGUUCUCACUGAUGUUCCCUGGGCAGACAACUCAGGAUGAGCCUCUGUGAGUGCUGGACUUGUGUUCCAUCCAGCUCCUCCCCAAGAGAGGGGCAGGGGCUGGUGCCCCAAAGCACCAGCACCCCACAUGGACUGGCACAUUUUGAAAGAUAUAACACAAAGAACUUCCAUUAUAAUCGCUGCCCAGGCGACCAUUCUCAACGCGUACAUUAUUUGUUAAAGUAAUUUUUAAAGCCUCAAAGUCAUGAGUCC